rnacentral:rRNA from 1 species
AGAGUUUGAUCAUGGCUCAGGAUGAACGCUAGCGGCAGGCUUAAUACAUGCAAGUCGAACGGUAACAGGCGGUAGCAAUACUGUGCUGACGAGUGGCGCACGGGUGCGUAACACGUAUGCAACUUACCCUUUACUGGGGCAUAACCUGUUGAAAGACGGGCUAAUUCCCCAUGGUAUUAUUUGGAGGCAUCUUUGAAUAAUUAAAGAUUUAUCGGUAAAGGAUGGGCAUGCGCCCCAUUAGUUGGUUGGUGAGGUAACGGCUCACCAAGACUGUGAUGGGUAGGGGUUCUGAGAGGAUUCACCCCCACACUGGUACUGAGACACGGACCAGACUCCUACGGGAGGCAGCAGUAAGGAAUAUUGGGCAAUGGGCGAAAGCCUGACCCAGCCAUGCCGCGUGCAGGAAGACGGCCUUAUGGGUUGUAAACUGCUUUUAUAUGGGAAUAACCGCAGCGAUGUAUCGCUGUCUGCAAGUACCAUAUGAAUAAGCAUCGGCUAACUCCGUGCCAGCAGCCGCGGUAAUACGGAGGAUGCAAGCGUUAUCCGGAAUUAUUGGGUUUAAAGGGUGCGUAGGCGGACUAUGUAAGUCAGUGGUGAAAUUUCCGGGCUCAACCUGGAGACUGCCAUUGAUACUGCAGGUCUUGAGUGUAGUUGAUGUUGGCGGAAUGUGUCAUGUA